ensembl:snRNA U6 U6 spliceosomal RNA
ACGCUGUGUUUGCUUCUGCAGUGUAUUUACAUUAACUAUACAGAGAAGAUUAGCAGGGCAUCAUUGCAAGGAUGUUUUGAAAAUGCACAAAGGGUUCCAUAUUUUU